UCCCAGAUAGCUCAGCUGGUAAAGAAUCUGUCUGCAAUGCAGGUGAUCCCAGUUCUAUUCCUGGUUCGGGAA
rnacentral:tRNA from 1 species